CAGUAGCCACGGUAAUACGAAGGGGGCUAGCGUUGUUCGGAAUCACUGGGCGUAAAGAGCACGUAGGCGGAUCUUUAAGUCAGAGGUGAAAUCCCGAGGCUCAACCUCGGAACUGCCUUUGAUACUGGGGAUCUCGAGUCCGGGAGAGGUGAGUGGAACUGCGAGUGUAGAGGUGAAAUUCGUAGAUAUUCGCAAGAACACCAGUGGCGAAGGCGGCUCACUGGCCCGGAACUGACGCUGAGGUGCGAAAGCGUGGGGAGCAAACAGGAUUAGAUACCCGCGUAGUCCCUGUCUCUUAUAC
rnacentral:rRNA from 1 species